ensembl:lncRNA
CCAGCCCAGGCUGCACCAAGGCACUUCUCUCCUACCUGCAGCCCUGUGCUCACCCUUGCCAUGCUGACUGCCGCAGGUUUGGCUGCACUCUCAGGAAUUGGUUAAAUCCCAUUCUACCUACAGCCAAGGGGCUCCUGGGGGAGGGGAUGCUGUGUGGAGAACAGGCAGCGUGAGACAAAUAUAGCAGCUGUCAAGGGAGGCUUAUUUGAAGCACGUCCCCCCAAACCUACCAGUCUGCUAUGCCGGCCAUGGAUUUGUCCUUCAGUGUUUGUUUUUUCCUUGUUGGAGAGUUUGAAAGGCCCAUUUCUACCACUGCGAAGCCUCAGCUGUCAUAUCGACUUUCCUCUUACUGCAAGCUACGCACUGAAGCACUGUGCCCUUUCAUAUCAAAUACAUCAUUAACACAGAUCCUUUUUCCCCCAUCAGAACCAAACGCUGAGUGCAGGGACUCGAGUGCUCCAGCAGCACAGCCAUCCCGAGAUACCCCCACCAUGCUGACUGCUGGCCCUGCCUGCAUCUGCAUGGGGCUGCCCCACAGGCUGUGACCCAGAGGCACCAAACCCAGCACUCAGAGAGGGGCACUCUGAUAAUUCAACUCCCAUGUCUUUCUGUGAUUAAGUAGCAUGCUGCUAUUUAUUUAAACCUCUUCGGAAACAGUGAACAGAAGAGUCAUGUCUAUUUUCAGGCAUUUCAAAUUUGUUAUAUGUCUGUACUCAUAGAGACAUAGAGAGAUUUAUAUACCCAGUACAGAAAAACUCACAUAGGGAUGCAAAACACAAACCCCUAACGUACAAAUCAGGAGGAGCCAUAAAAGCUGCACUACAGUCUCUUGUCCUCCUCCCAGACACAUCUCCCAAAGGACUACAGCUCCCAGCAUGCUCCAAAGCCAACACAUUUCUGUACCAGGUGCUUGUUUGCAUCCAGGGGCAAUCACCUCACCUGGCCAAACAGGAGCAAAACGUGGCACAGCUGCUCCAUAAUCUGUAAAAUUUGGUGCAGCUGCCAGCUUGCGAGUGUAGCCAAUGAAAAAGUGGGUGCUGGGUGACACGAGCUUCCCCACCUAGAGGUCUAUGUGUGUACAGGACAGGCUGCUUUGGAGUGAGACUGUGCCAGCAGCCUUAGGCUGGGUGUUAACACCCCAAAGGGUGGAUGAACUCACAGCACGUCCUGGGUGCCUUCAUGGGAAAUACCUUUAAAGCACUCCUGUUUCUUUCCCCAGAGUGAACUGGCUGUGUAAGAGCACUUGAAAUUCUUCAGUCGGGGAAAAAAAAAAGCACACCAAAAACACCCUGGAGGAUGAUCAAAGGUGAAUGAGAAGCUUGGCCACGGAGCAGACCCCAGUGGAGAUAGCAGUUCUUUAAGGCUUUCAAGCAGCUGACAAGAAACCAUCAAGUUCUGAGAGCUCCACUCCUAUGAAAGUCAACAGUCCUUCAAGAAAGAGGACCCAACUUGCUGGAGUGGCUUAUCUGGACCGGAGCCUACUCCUACCCAAGACCUGAAAGACCUCAGGGAAGAUGUCAGUGGAGGCAGCCAGAAGACUGGGGAGCCUCAGUGGUCUCAAAAGCAAGCCACAAGAAAACACUGUCACCUGAUGUGGGUCAUGGUUGGGCAGUAAUACCGAUGGCCAAAGUGUGGGGGUCACCGUGGGGAGGACUAGUGCUGGAGGAAGAGGUUGAGUCACGUUCUCUGGGGUUAAUUAUAUGGUGGAUGCUGAUGAACUAGGCAAAGAGCUUAAAAUCUAUAAGGAAUUUGUAAUGGGAAUUUAUCUUCAUACCUAUACUGCUAUUGAUCAAAAUGGUAGUCAGCAGAUGUUCAGACCCUAUUGAUCAGCUUGGAUAUAUUAUCGGUGGCUGUAUUCUAAAUAGAGUUCAGUGCACUAAGGGAAUUUUUUCCUUGUCUUUAUUUCUAUUUUCCUGUCACCAUGACAAUGUAUAUGUAAACAUUUCUUAUUUAAAAAUAUCAAAUAUGAGAGCAG